UACGUAGGGGGCAAGCGUUGUCCGGAUUUAUUGGGCGUAAAGAGCGUGUAGGCGGCCGUACAGGUCAGCUGUGAAAACUCGAGGCUCAACCUCGAGACGUCGGUUGAAACCGUACGGCUAGAGUCCGGAAGAGGAGAGUGGAAUUCCCGGUGUAGCGGUGAAAUGCGCAGAUAUCGGGAAGAACACCCGUGGCGAAGGCGGCUCUCUGGGACGGUACUGACGCUGAGACGCGAAAGCGUGGGGAGCGAACAGA
rnacentral:rRNA from 1 species